UUGCUCGCGAUACAGAUCAUUUCACUUAACGCAUUUCAACCACUCCUCGAGCGUGCCGCAGCUAGUGAUGGGAUCUGAAACACUUCAAAUCGUAUCGCAUCUGUAUAUUCAAAUCGCUUCAAACAUGAUUCGAAGCUUGAAACUCUUGAUCAUGUAGAAGGUCUUGAAUCUUUAAAGUCUUGGCAGUCUUAGAAGUCUUGAUCAUCAUGGAAACCUCGAUCGUCUAGGAAGUGUUGAAAAUUAUGACCAUUUUAAAAGCCUUGAUCGUAUUACAAGUCUCGAUCAUCUUGUGAAAUAAAUCUUGCAAAACUGAAACUAACAGCUUCAAAACGAUCAAGACUUUCGAGACUUGAAAGUCUCAAACUUAUCAAGAUUUACAAAAGAGCUUUAAACUUCGAAUCAUGUUCGAAGCGAUCCGAAUUUGUCGCCUCAUACACAAUACAAAUUCGAAGCAAAUCGAAGUGUUUCCAUGUCAUCACUAGCCGCAAUUCGUACCUAAUAACUGGGCAAACACGACAACAAAUUGAAGGAGCCAACAUCCAAACGCACAGCAUGAUUUUUGGACGACUAUUAUCUUCGUGCCUGUAUUUCGCUACAAUUUCAUCGACACGUCCGUUAACCCAGCUACACACAUUGACUGUCGAAUUUCCAACCAGCCAAAUUGCAUACGAUCACGUUAUAAGCGCCCAGAGUAUCAGCGUAUGGUGUAUGAAUAAUGAAUGAGCCUCGGACUGCAUAGUAAGACUGAGAAUACGGUCUUAUACGGUACUGUUACAUCCAGCGAAAAGGUGGGGUUGCACAGUUAAAACUCGUGCAACGAGACAGCCGGCCAAUAAGCAGGCAUAAAGACGACGGCGUUAAAUAACCGGUACUCGUCCUAUCGGCCGAUUGCUUUUUGUUGUAGGCCAUGGCACGUCAGCUCGAGGCUCGAGCACCACUCUGUUGACCAGCGAAACGGCUAAUGUUCUUGUUUUUUUUUCUUGCCUUCUUUCUGUUUUCAUUCUUCUUCUCCUUCGCGUUCUUCUUCUUCUCUUUGUUCCUUUUUGUCUGAUUCUUUUAUUCUUUGCCGAGUUCGAUCGAAUCGAGAAAGAUCGAAGGGAAGCGUUCGAUGGAAACAAUUUUUUAACAAAGGACUCGAUCGUGUUGCGUUAGAAAA
rnacentral:misc_RNA from 1 species